AAAGCCAAUUCACAACAUCCUUCUGUUGGGCCUGAGAGGCGGAGGGUGAAUUCGCUGGGCCGGUGGACAGUGGGCAGCUUUCUGAGGGCACAUACAACCAGAUGCUGUUGCUGCCCCUGGUCUAGUGAUUUCACUUGGAGAAACACAGGCUGAUUUAAACAAGAAUGGAAAAGACACUAGGCCGGAGGGUUAAAUAUGAAAUAAGAGAUGCCCUUCAGCAGGCGAAUGGACUAAGAAGAUGUGGUCCAUACAUACAAUGGAACACUACUCAGCCAUCCGAGAGGAUGAAUACCCACCAUUUGCACCGACACGCACAGAACUGGAGGAGAUUCUGCUAGGUGAAGCUUCCAGGUUGUAUCCCACAGAGUUGUGGGUCCAGCCAGGCCUCUCCUAUGCUGGAUGAUGAUGAUUACCAUCACCACUGCCACCAUUAUCAGCAUAACUACCACCAUCAACACCAUCACCAUCAUCAUCAUCAUCACAAGAGCUACGGUACACCAAGCACCAUGAUGGCCCAGUUCCUGUGUUGACGCUUUCCCUGUCUGUUCUGUUAUAUUCUCACAGCAACUCCAAGCCCUAAGAAUUAUUCUCCCUCUUUCCCUACUUUGUGAAGGAGAAUGACAAGGUGCUGAGAAAUUAAACACCUAGUCCAAAGUCCC